rnacentral:misc_RNA from 1 species
GAUGAAGAACGCAGCGAAAUGCGAUAAGUAGUGUGAAUUGCAGAAUUCCGUGAAUCAUCGAAUCUUUGAACGCACAUUGCGCCUUCUGGUAUUCCGGAAGGCAUGCCUGUUCGAGAGUCAUUAACAACCGUUUCGAUCCCUUUCUUUCAGAAAUUACAAAGAGGAAAAGGGUUUGGUUAUGGUGGAGGAGGGAAAGGGAGCGUUUAGCCUGUAAAAAAAGAGGCUGUGUUCCGCCUCCCCCCCAAAAUUGUACAGGCGGUCGUGAGCGCCCACGCAUCGAGGUGUUGUAAAAGCUGCCACGGCACUUUUCACCUGUGCAGUGCGAGAUUGGCCAGCCGGUUUAAAAACCCCUCCAAACAAUCAAAGGUUGACCUCGGAUCAGGUAGGGAUACCCGCUGAACUUAAGCAUAUCAAUAGCGGAGGA